AUUUAAACGGGAUUGAAGCGGCAUCCUCCGAUCUGAUUUUUCAUCAGAAUCGGAGAUAUAGCAGAAAGCCCGACUGACA
rnacentral:sRNA from 1 species